UACGGAGGGGGCUAGCGUUGUUCGGAAUUAUUGGGCGUAAAGGGCGCGUAGGCGGCCGAAUAAGUCUGACGUGAAAUCCCCCGGCCCAACCGGGGAACUGCGUUUGAUACUGUUUGGCUCGAGUCCGGGAGAGGGUAGUGGAAUUCCCAGUGUAGCGGUGAAAUGCGCAGAGAUCGGGAGGAACACCCGUAGCGAAGGCGGCACUCUGGGCCGGUACUGACGCUGAGGAGCGAAAGCGUGGGGAGCGAACAGG
rnacentral:rRNA from 1 species